rnacentral:rRNA from 1 species
AUUGAACGCUGGCGGCAUGCCUAACACAUGCAAGUCGAACGGCAGCACAGUAAAGAUUUCGGUCUUUAUGGGUGGCGAGUGGCGGACGGGUGAGUAAUGCGUAGGAAUCUGUCCUGGAGGGUAGGAUAACCCGAGGAAACUCGGGCUAAUACUGCAUGAUAUCGAGAGAUCAAAGGCAGGGGACCCUUCGGGGCCUUGCGCUCUAGGAUGAGCCUACGUCGGAUUAGCUAGUUGGUGGGGUAAAGGCCUACCAAGGCGACGAUCCGUAGCUGGUCUGAGAGGAUGACCAGCCACCCUGGGACUGAGACACGGCCCAGACUCCUACGGGAGGCAGCAGUGGGGAAUCUUGGACAAUGGGGGAAACCCUGAUCCAGCGAUGCCGCGUGUGUGAAGAAGGCCUUCGGGUUGUAAAGCACUUUAGUUGGGGAAGAAAAGUAAUGAGUGAAUAACUGAUUGCUCUGACGGUACCCAAAGAAUAAGCACCGGCUAACUCUGUGCCAGCCGCCGCGGUAA